rnacentral:rRNA from 1 species
CACGUAGGGGGCGAGCGUUGUCCGGAUUCAUUGGGCGUAAAGGGCGCGCAGGCGGCUCGGAAAGUCGGGUGUGAAAACUCGGGGCUCAACCCCGGGCGUGCAUCCGAUACUGCCGGGCUUGAGGCAGGUAGGGGAGAUCGGAAUUCCUGGUGUAGCGGUGAAAUGCGUAGAUAUCAGGAGGAACACCUGCGGUGUAGACGGCUUUCUGGACCAUUGCUGACGCUGAGACACGAAAGCGUGGGUAGCAAACAGG